UGCCCGGUGGUCCAAUGGUUAAGACUCUGCACUUCCAGUGCAGGGGUGCAGGUUCGAUCCCUGGUCAGGGAA
rfam:Ovis aries breed Texel chromosome 4, whole genome shotgun sequence.